rnacentral:rRNA from 1 species
CCUACGGGAGGCAGCAGUGGGGAAUAUUGCACAAUGGGGGAAACCCUGAUGCAGCGACGCCGCGUGAGCGAGGAAGUAUUUCGGUAUGUAAAGCUCUGUCAGCCGGGAAGAAGAAUGACGGUACCUUAAGAAGAAGCACCGGCUAAAUACGUGCCAGCAGCCGCGGUAAUACGUAUGGUGCAAGCGUUAUCCGGAUUUACUGGGUGUAAAGGGAGCGCAGGCGGUUCUGCAAGUCUGAUGUGAAAGCCCGGGGCUCAACCCCGGAACUGCGUUGGAAACUGUGCAGCUAGAGUGCAGGAGAGGUAAGUGGAAUUCCUAGUGUAGCGGUGAAAUGCGUAGAUAUUAGGAGGAACACCAGUGGCGAAGGCGGCUUACUGGACUGUAACUGACGUUGAGGCUCGAAAGCGUGGGGAGCAAACAGGAUUAGAUACCCCGGUAGUC